rfam:Capsicum annuum cultivar Zunla-1 chromosome 8, whole genome shotgun sequence
ACUUCGUGGUUUGGGCAUUGCAUGAUUUUAUCCUUGAACCUUUCCCAUACUUCAUAUAAAGGCUCACCAAUUUAUUAACUAAGAUUUGUGAUUUCGUCCUUUAAUUU